CGAUCGGCCCUCUUCAGGGCCACCAUAUCCUUUCUUUAAAAAAUGAU
rfam:Nasonia vitripennis strain AsymCX Ctg21545, whole genome shotgun sequence.